rnacentral:rRNA from 1 species
UACGUAGGGACCAAGCGUUGUUCGGAUUUACUGGGCGUAAAGGGCGCGUAGGCGGCGCGACAAGUCACUUGUGAAAUCUCUGAGCUUAACUCAGAACGGCCAAGUGAAACUGUUGUGCUAGAGUGCAGAAGGGGCAAUCGGAAUUCUUGGUGUAGCGGUGAAAUGCGUAGAUAUCAAGAGGAACACCUGAGGUGAAGACGGGUUGCUGGGCUGACACCGACGCUGAAGCGCGAAAGCCAGGGGAGCAAACGGG